GCCAGCAUAGCUCAGUGGUAGAGCAACCCACUCGUAAUGGGUAGGUCAGGAGUUCAAAUCUCCUUGCUGGCU
rnacentral:tRNA from 1 species